rnacentral:lncRNA from 10 species
AGAGAUGAUGUCAGUGACAUAUUCCUGUAGGAAGAACUCAGUGACUGCUUAAUUUUCCAUGUAGGUUUUUAAUGCUUUGUAUUUUGUUAAAAUCCAGAUCACAAUCUUCCACUAAGCAAGUGGUCCAAUCUGAUUAAUAUAGUACAUUCUCCUUUGUUGCCAAACAUUGCCAAGGGCAAGGUAAUACUUAGGGAACCACCCCCUCCUCCAAACAUACACACAUAUAAAUGAAAAAUAAGUAGAUCUGUACAAUCAUUAUUGAGCUAAAAUAGCACUUAGAAAUGUAUUUUUAUUGUGAAAAAUGGCCAAAUAAGAGUUGCUGACUAUUUGUAGCCCUGUAAUGUAAGUCAGAUAAAUUGGUGCCCAGAAGUCUGACAUUUCAAAAGCCCAGGAAUAUGUCGCAUUUUUUCUGGUAUGCUUAAUCCAUCUUGAGCUGAUUUUUUGUAUAGGGCUGGACGUUCGCUUAGGCACUAAAAAGAGUAAGUUGGAAAAUACUCAGUGCUGAUGAGAAAGUGGGGUAAUUGAAACUCUUAUACAUCAUUCUAGGAACAUCCACUUAGGAAAAAACAUGAAGCACAACCCAUCUGCUAGGCAGAUUGACAUAAAACCUCAUACUAAAGACCUAUUUUCCUCAGUUCUCAUUACCUGAUACAUCAUGUUUGACUUUUAACAAAAAAUCAUAAGGAAGGCUAUACAAAAAGAAAAGGAAAAACACAGUCAGAAGAGACAAAGUAAGCAUCUAAGAAUAAUACAGAGAACUCCCAUAUUCCCCUCAAUGAUUCCAUAUGUAUAUAUUCAAUAUUCUACCUGUAUAUCUAUUUAUUAUUUUUACUUAUGUAUGUCAUCAUUUUUAUGUAUUUAUUUUAUUAUUUUAUAUAUAUACAUACAUACGUAUCAUAUAUAUUUAUAUACACAUAAAGGAUUUGGAAAAA